rnacentral:misc_RNA from 1 species
AAAAAAAAAAAAAAAAAGAGGCAAAGAAUAAGGGAAAGAAGAACUAAUUCUCAAUUUUGUAUUAAUCUUGAAUAAUUAUCAUAUAAAAGUCUAAAGCUAAUAAUAAUAGAAAUUCUAGGUUCUUUUUAUAGAGUUCACAAUCCUAAUCAGGUGAGGAAUAAAAACCCUAAUUCAAAUCUAAUUAGGAAUAUUAAAUAAGGUAAACUUCCUAAAUAUAAUACUAAUCCUAAUGACAAUAGAAUUACUAAAUGAUAAAACUAAUAGACCUCCUAAAUAAUAAAACUUAAAUUUCCUAAUUUUACAUUG